UCUUCAUCAAUGACUGAUAAAAUUCAACUAGCUGUGGAGCUCUGUGAACUUUGUCACCAUCCAUUCCCCCUCUUGAUAGGCUUCCUGGGGGAGGAGGAGGUGGAGGUGGUCCACCUGGCGGUGGUGGUGGCCGUGGAGCCCCUGGAGGAGGAGGAGGAAUUGGAGGAGCAGAUGGUACUCCAUUGGCAGGAUUUGCAUUUGUGGUAGCAGCACCACCACCAGAUGGCUUAGGAGGAGGUCUAGGCACCCUAGUAGGCCUUUUCUCAAUUUCAGCAAGCUUCAUCUUGCUGAUAGUUUGAUCAUCAACAUUCUUCCCUUCUUCGGAUUGAUCAUUUGG
rnacentral:lncRNA from 1 species